GUGGGUGUAGCUCAGUAGGUAGAGCACCAGGUUGUGGCCCUGGAUGUCGCGGGUUCAAGUCCCGUCACUCACCCCA
rnacentral:tRNA from 2 species